UAUCCACUAGGUGUCGCUCUUUCAGUGUGAUUAAUGUGAUAUUCAGUCAGUGGUGAUGGUGGGAGGAGCCAGUAAAGCUGCUCAUUACUGAUAAAGAGCUGAAUAAAGAGGAAGUAACUAAAGCAGACAGAUGUAGAGACAGAGAGAUUCACACAGAGAUCAUUCAGCAGAAAGAAGACUGAACUCAACUCACAAUGAAGAUCCUCCUCAUCUUCCUCACUUUCUACCUGAUCUCAGUGAGAUGCUUUAGCGUCACGGGAUAUUCUGGAGGAAGUGUUCUUGUGGAUCCUGGGAAACCUUGGUUCAGUGCAAAUGUUAAAUGCAUGAAUAAAUUACCUGAGUGGACAAAUAUACUGAAUAAUACGAAACAUGACAAAUGGAUCAAUGUUGGAAAAUUCACAUUGUUUCAAAAUAAUGAGGGAAACCUCAUGAUCUACAUCAGAGAUUUGAAGGAGCAUGAUGCUGGAGGAUACUGGAUUGGUGUUCUUUACAAGUGGGGUAUAGAUAUGACUUUACAUGUGGAAGAAGAUUCAUGUUGUAAAGUGUCAAGGAGAGUGAUGGUGAAUAUUGGAGAAACUGCCAAUUUCAGCUGUGAAUAUUUACAGAAUCAUAUUAAUAACCCCAAGAUUAUAUUCAAAGAAGAAAAAGACUCUAUUGAGACGAUUUACAGCAAAUGGAAGAAGAAAGAAAGAUUCAGUAUUUCUGAUGACAAACAUAAAAAGAUCUUCAGUGUGAGAAUCACUGCUGUGACACCAGAUGAUGGAGGAGUUUAUUUAUGUGGAGUUUGGAUCAACAGAGAUUCGUACAGUUACUCUAUUAUUAAUACUGUUCAUAUACAUGUUAUGAGUGAGUAGAACAAACACAUUAAAAUCUUGUUUCUGAAAUUGGCUUUUGUGGCAGAACUGAUUAAUGU
ensembl:lncRNA